UACGGAGGGUGCGAGCGUUGUUCGGAAUCACUGGGCGUAAAGGGCGCGUAGGCGGCUUUGUAAGUCGGGGGUGAAAGCCUGUGGCUCAACCACAGAAUUGCCUUCGAUACUGCAUGGCUUGAGACCGGAAGAGGAGAGUGGAAUUCCUGGUGUAGCGGUGAAAUGCGCAGAUAUCAGGAAGAACACCCGUGGCUAAGGCGGCUCUCUAGUAACGGGUACUGGACGCUGAGACGCGAAAGCGUGGGGAGCGAACAGG
rnacentral:rRNA from 1 species